GGGAACAUUUUGUUGCAGCCCCACACACACAUGCUCAGAUUUCAAUGCUACUGUUCCCAGCAGAGAAUACGCAAAAGCCACCUGACGUUCUCCCACAAUACUCCUCCUUCGUCAUUCCCUCUCUUCCCCAUUUUCUGGAAACACUGAGGCUCCGGAAGCUCUGAGAUUCAGCCAUGAAGACCACCUUCCUUCUGUCUUUUGUUAUCGUCCUUCUAUUGCCAGGGUUAAACCAGGCCAGGAGUAAAAAAUGUACAGAUGGAGUAUGCAGAAAUCUUAAGGAGUGUUACAGGGAGGAAAAGUUGUGGGGACCAUGCCCUCAGGAUCCAUCCCAGAUCUACUGCUGCUUUUGGGUAGGCAUCAAUUAUCCACCCAGGAGAAGAUUUGGACGUUUCUGAAUCCUGAAGCAAUUUUCCUGUGACACAGGAUCUUUCUUCAUCGCCACUCCCAGAAGCCUUGUGCAUUUGAGCUUGUCAGCUAGUCAACCUUCCCAAAAGGGAACAACACCUUCUUGUCUAACAGAAAUCUUGCAUUUUCUUCUUCUAAUAAAAGCAAUGCAGUUGGGCAUAUGAACCAGUGGUGUGUGCUGAUUUCCAUAAAGGGAGAAGGAAGUCUCCUAUCUCUGAAAAACAAACACUUGCUACCUUUUGUAAAAAUGACUGCUUCGCCCACCUUACCCUAGUCCCUAUGAACUCCAGAACAUAAAUAACUUUUUGGCUGCAUGAAUGGGGGGGAUAUGUACAGGCUGUUCUAGCAAAGACGCUUCUCUUCUGUGCCAAGGACAGCUCAGACUUGCAGCCUGCAGAAAGGAAGCAAAUCUGCACAUAUCACAUAAAGUGGCUUAUUUGGCAUCUCAUUUGCAAGGGGGAGAAGGGGGGUUCUGUUCUCAUUUAGGGGUGAAAC